GCACCCGUAGCUCAGUUGUCAGCGGUGGAAUGGUGAUCUACAGUCUCGGGUUCAAGUCCCGGCGGACGCU